rnacentral:rRNA from 1 species
AUACGUAGGUGGCAAGCGUUGUCCGGAUUUAUUGGGCGUAAAGCGAGCGCAGGCGGUUUUUUAAGUUCUGAUGUGAAAGCCUUCGGCUUAACCGAAGAAGUGCAUUAGAAACUGGGAAACUUGAGUGCAGAAGAGGACAGUGGAACUCCAUGUGUAGCGGUGAAAUGCGUAGAUAUAUGGAAGAACACCAGUGGCGAAGGCGGCUGUCUGGUCUGUAACUGACGCUGAGGCUCGAAAGCAUGGGUAGC